rnacentral:rRNA from 1 species
AUGGCCACCGUUCUCUCCUCACGUGCCGACAAUGGAUGCGACAUCGGUCCAUUUCCCAAGGAAAACUGUACUGAGCUAUGUCAUAAAGCAUGCGGUCAUGCCGGCGUUUGCCUCUUAGGAGAUGACGAGAAGUAUUACUGUUGCUGUGAACCAGUACGCCAAGAUGGAUCCAUGAGGCUUCAGGAGGUUGCUGAAAUGAUACAAAGAUAG